rnacentral:SRP_RNA from 10 species
CGCCACCGAUGACUCGCGGCUUCUGGCCCUCUUUCUGGCCCCCGCCACCAGAAGCUCCGCCCUGCGGAGCCCGCAGGCGGCGGAUGUGCUCUCUCUGGAUG